CUUAGCUAGCAAGCCAGACAAGCAGGGUUUAAGGAUUUAAAACAUCUGUCUGAAGGGGUCUCUCUUUUCCAAACUUAAAAGUAUAAACAUUUACACACAACACCACGGGACAGAAAAUAUUUUAUACAUUGGCCAUGCUGUCAAUCCAGCAUGACUUCUGCCGUGUUCAAGACAGCAUGACUUCUGCCGUGUUCAAAACAACUGGAAACUCGGAACUGGGAAAUCUCAGACUUCAGUGAGUUCAAGACAACUGGGAACUUGUAAAAAAACAAGCUCGUGCUGAACGGUUAGAACGGUCAUCCAUCUCGGAAUUCCAGGUCGGGAACUCGGACCUCUUUUUUAGAGCGCCGUCAUGAAGAUCACUGAUGUCAUGAUUCGAUCUUGUUUUUUUACAAGUUCCCAGUUGUCUUGAAAGCACCAUCAAUCCAGAGAAUGCCAGGUUAAUCACAAAGUUUGCCCACAAGAAGGACCGCCGCGCCACAUUCGAGAGCACAGCACAACAACGCUUAUUUAAUACAGAUGUUGGCCUACAUCACAAUGAUAUAGCUGUGAAGGUGGACGUAUGUGAGUAAAGUGUGGCGUCAGACUAUUGAUCGUGGUUAUGCCGUUCUGGAUUCCCCAUAUGCUGAACACAACUACACUGUGAUGGAAUCACCCAGAACACUCAAGUGUAACUUGAGGUGACCUGACUCGGAGGCAGCAUGUCAGCCCUACCCACCUGGCGGCCUUUAAUUGGUUGGUAUCUUAUCUGCAAUAAGAAUGGAGAAUACAGAGACAACGCACAUGGCCUCCUGAUCAAGUUCAAUGAAUGUGUGAAUGCCACAGACAAGUGAGCCUUCAACCCUGUCCACAAGGCAGCUCAGAAGGCUGUUGAUGUGUGCCCUGUUUAUGCACACUAUGCCCCCAGACGCAGAGAAGAGGGAUCACCAGCUCAGCUCGUCAAACUGUCCAAUUUCUGCAGGGGACAACAGACUAGAUGGAGGUCUUCACGGUCCAAAAAGCCUGUAGUAACCAAACACAUUGAUGACCUGAUAAAUCCUAACCCCGCAAACCUAUGUGAACUUUUAAGUUUGCGGCAUAUUUCAGAGAUAACCCGCCUAAUGUUUGUUAUUUUAUCAGUCAAGCAAGACCUGAUGUGAAGUUUGAUAUGUGUCCUAGCCUACCACGCAAAAGCACUAUGGAUUUAUUUUCCCUGGUUGAUACGGACAUGCUCAGGAAAGUGAUAUCACAACUUGAGCUUUCAACCUGCCUUCUCAAUCCUAUCCCCACCAGUUUUUAAUUGCAUAUCUGAAGAAGUGUAAGCUUUUGUUAAUCACGCCCUUGUUAAUCACUCCCUAAAAACUGCUAUGGCGAAACCCCUUCUGAAGAAAAGAAACCUAGAUUCUUCAGCUUUUGUCAAUGUUCAGCCAAUCUCCAACCUUAUAUUCUUAAGCAAAAUUCUGGAGAAAUUUGAUUUCGAACAGCAAAAUUAUUUAAGUGCCAACUGUAUUUGAUUUUUUUAGUUGUUGGAAAAUUCCAAUAUGGUUUUCGGGCCCACCACAGCACAGAGAUAGCCUUAGUUAAAGUGGUAAAUGAUCUUAGAGCCAACACAGAUGCCAAACAAAUCCCUGUCCUUGUACUCUUGGAUUUAAGUGCCGCAUUCGACACUAUUGACCAUGAUGUCCUUUUGGACAGACUGGAGUAAUGGGUUGGCAUCUGCGGUCCAGUUCUAAAUUGGUUUAGGACCUAUUUAACUGGUCGAGAGUUUUUUUUUUUAAUCACCCUUUGUGACAAAAAUGGCGCCGAAGGAGAUGGCUGCCGUUUUACGAUCCUGUAACCAAUUGUGCGGUUGUGUAUGUUUUUUUCGCAUUAUUUGGAAGUUAUUUUGUACAUAAUGUUUCUGCCACCGUGUCUUAUGACCAAAAAGAGCUUCUAGAUAUCAAAACAGCGAUUACUCACCCCAUACUGGAGGAAUACUUUUUCUUCAACAAGUCUGACGGGAAGGAUUUACUACAGACACCCCACAAGGCCCUCAUCCCCGUAAUUCGCAGGAGACAGAGACGGAGGUAUCGUGGACGAAGAUCCAGGUGCCUUGUUAGUAUCCGCCGCCGAGAUGGUCAUCUACCUUCACCAUCCGUCCUAUUAGCCAAUGUACAAUCAAUCGAUAAUAAAAUAGACGAACUAUGAUCACGUGUAUAUACUACCAACAGGACAUUAAAAACUGUAUCUUAUGUUUCACCAAGUCGUGGCUGAAAGACAACAAGAAAAACAUACGGGUAGCGGGUUUUAAGCUUUUUUGAAAGGACUGAACAGCGGCCUCGGGUAAGACAAGGGGUGGCGGUCUAUGUAUAUUUGUAAACAGCUGGUGCACAAAAUCUAAGGAAGUCUCUAGGUUUUGCUCGCCUGAGGUAGAGUAUCUCAUGAUAAGCUGUAGACCACACUAUUUACCAAGAGAGUUUUCAUCUGUAUUUUCUGAGCUGUCUACAUACCACCACAAACCGAUGCUGGCACUAAGACCGCACUCAAUGAGCAGUAUAUGGCCAUAAGUAAACAGAAAAAUGCUCACCCAGAGGCGGCGCUCCUAUUGCCCGGGGACUUUAAUGCAGGAAAACUCAUCUGUUUUACUUAAUUUCUACCAGCAUGUUAAAUGUGCAACCAGAGGGAAAACAACUCUAGACCAUCUUUACUCCACACACA